GCAAAUUUCCCUCAAUAUCUGGUUACUUUUUUAAAAAUAAAAGAAUACAACUUUUUUCUAUCAUUUUAAAAAAUAAAAAAAACAUAUCACAAAACCUAUACUCAACAGUUUAACAAACCUAUUAGUACACAACUGCUCUUCCAUCUUAUCCCUAAUUAAAACUUCCCCUAUUAUAUCUCAUCAUCUCUAAAACCUGUUUUACUUCUAUAUAACUACUUAUUUACCGUAAAACACUUCCAACUCUGUAAUCUCUUUCAACAUUCUUCAAACACUUACGUAUUCUAAAAAGAAACUCAAUUCAGGCUUCAUCAGCAACAUCACAAUUCAAAAUAUGCGAUGAAACUUACAAGUAUUUGUAAUUCGUUGAUGGGAGAUAAAGGAUCGUCACAAUCCUGAUAUUAUUUAUGCCAUGUUAUUCAUUCUACAGAACAAAAUUUACUAUUUGUAGAUUCUUUUGCUUUUUCAUCUCUUGAUGAAUUGAUAUGUGUUAUACUUUUAGGUAGAUUAGAUACAAACUUCUAGUGCAGAUUCAGUUAGGAAACAUUUCAAAUAAUCAGAUAUUAAAGGAAGGAUUUAUCUUAUGGCCAACUUUGUUUUCUGUAAAAAUACUCCAAUGUUUAAUGCCAAAAAUCAUGAUUCGAAGCUUAAUUUUACUCUAAGAACUACUUUUACUGAACGUCUGGUCUUCUUUUUCAGUGUAAUCUUUUCAAUUUCAGACUGUUCAAGCAAUUGAUAAAUGAGGUUGAUGUUCAGGCGAAUGACUUAUUUGACAACAGGUGGUCAUAUACUGGAUGCGAUUUGUUAAUCUUAGACAACAGGCAGUCAGUUAUAUACUGGAUGCAAUUAGUGUCGGAAAAAGGCAAAAUAUGUGGAAAACACUUAUGUUUGCACUAACCAGAAGUAAAAAGAUGUGGAUUCCUCUGCAGUUACCAGAUGAGUCAAUUGGAAGACAAUUUCCAAUAGUCUUUUUGGAGCACAUUAAAGAUGAUUUUGGUGCAAAUGAGGAGAUAAAACGGUUGUGACAACUCCUCCAAGUAACUUGAACGAGGAAUUCAGGUAAUUAAAUAUUAAAAAAUUACUGUAAUUGAUACAAGAAUGACAACGGAAGGCACAAAACAUACUCCAAAUCAGUCCACAAUCUUAA